rnacentral:rRNA from 1 species
AGGGAAACCGAGUCUUAACUGGGCGUUAAGUUGCAGGGUAUAGACCCGAAACCCGGUGAUCUAGCCAUGGGCAGGUUGAAGGUUGGGUAACACUAACUGGAGGACCGAACCGACUAAUGUUGAAAAAUUAGCGGAUGACUUGUGGCUGGGGGUGAAAGGCCAAUCAAACCGGGAGAUAGCUGGUUCUCCCCGAAAGCUAUUUAGGUAGCGCCUCGUGAACUCAUCUUCGGGGGUAGAGCACUGUUUCGGCUAGGGGGUCAUCCCGACUUACCAACCCGAUGCAAACUGCGAAUACCGAAGAAUGUUAUCACGGGAGACACACGGCGGGUGCUAACGUCCGUCGUGAAGAGGGAAACAACCCAGACCGCCAGCUAAGGUCCCAAAGUCACAGUUAAGUGGGAAACGAUGUGGGAAGGCUCAGACAGCCAGGAUGUUGGCUUAGAAGCAGCCAUCAUUUAAAGAAAGCGUAAUAGCUCACUGGUCGAGUCGGCCUGCGCGGAAGAUGUAACGGGGCUAAACUGUGCACCGAAGCUGCGGCAGCGACGCUUAUGCGUUGUUGGGUAGGGGAGCGUUCUGUAAGCCUGCGAAGGUGUCCUGUGAGGGAUGCUGGAGGUAUCAGAAGUGCGAAUGCUGACAUAAGUAACGAUAAUGCGGGUGAAAAGCCCGCUCGCCGGAAGACCAAGGGUUCCUGUCCAACGUUAAUCGGGGCAGGGUGAGUCGACCCCUAAGGCGAGGCCGAAAGGCGUAGUCGAUGGGAAACGGGUUAAUAUUCCCGUACUUGGUGUUACUGCGAAGGGGGGACGGAGAAGGCUAUGUUGGCCGGGCGACGGUUGUCCCGGUUUAAGCGUGUAGGUGUGUGUUCCAGGUAAAUCCGGUUCACUUUAACACUGAGGCGUGAUGACGAGGCACUACGGUGCUGAAGCAACAAAUGCCCUGCUUCCAGGAAAAGCCUCUAAGCAUCAGGUAACAUCAAAUCGUACCCCAAACCGACACAGGUGGUCAGGUAGAGAAUACCAAGGCGCUUGAGAGAACUCGGGUGAAGGAACUAGGCAAAAUGGUGCCGUAACUUCGGGAGAAGGCACGCUGACACGUAGGUGAAGUGAUUUACU